rnacentral:lncRNA from 14 species
GGGGGACAAUGGGGGGAGGGUGGGGAGGGGAACACCGAUAAGAAAGGGGAGGGGGGAGGGGGAUGUUUGCCCGGAAACCGGGAAAGGGAAUAACACUCGAAAUGUAUAUAAGAAAUACUCAAGUUAAUAAUAAUAAAAAAGAAAAAAGAAAAAAAAAAAGAAAAAAAAUGCGAAGGAGUUCUCUAACUGUCAUCUGGUUCUAUAGUCAUCCGAAGAGUCUGGAACUUGGGGGAAGCAAUGGCUCUCAGCUCCAUAAGUAACCCCUGUACCUCAGUGUCAGCCGGCUAAACAGGACAACACCCACUUGUACAUGACAGGAAGCAGCAUCCCAGGAACCUGCAGGAACAAGUCCGGUCGGGAUGAAAGAUGAAAAUCCCCAUGCGAGACAGAGGACUUCUUGGAACAUUUUUUUUAAAACUGCAAAGGGUCCCAGAAGUCUGGCAUCAUCUGUGGUAGGAGGAGAAGUCACCGGAGAUCCAGCAGCUGAGCUUUCAAAGCUUGGAACUUACAACUUCGAUGCUAGAUCAGCUUCCAAUUCAUGCUCCAAAGAGAAUUCACUUUCCAGACAUGUGUCUGUGUGCGUCCGUACAUGUGCGUGUGCGUGUGCUCAUUCAUGUGCGUGUGUGCCCGCGUGCAUGCGUGGGCACACACGUGAGAUUCUGUUUCUUUUAACAGUCCCAUGUGAUUAUACCAAGCAUGGACACCACAGCCAUGCUUUCAGAUGCUCUCCGAUAUCUCCACAAUCAAUGUUGCCUGAUAACACAUGUUACGUCUUCAGAUGGUAUCUUCUCAGACAUCUGCGAACCAGCUCUGAAGCACCGAGAGGAAAAUGUGUAAGUGGAAUCCUUUUAACAUUUACAUGUGUGGUCGGAAACACCAGAGCAGACUCGAAGGGGAGGAAGCAAAUUUCAGACAUAUACCAAGACAGUUAAGAAAAUUUAAACGGGCAAUUUGAGAGACAAUGCAAAAUAAAAUUGCACAAAAGGGUAACUUGCUCUCACUUUGCGAGGACUUGCUUUUCAAAAUUAUGUUCAUUUUCUGAAAAGUAUGAAUGCGCCUUUAAUUGGGUUAUGUAAACUUGGC